rnacentral:rRNA from 1 species
ACGCUCGACACCUACGGGAGCAGCAGUGGGGAAUAUUGCACAAUGGGGGAAACCCUGAUGCAGCGACGCCGCGUGGAGGAAGAAGGUCUUCGGAUUGUAAACUCCUGUUGUUGGGGAAAAAGAGGAUGGUACCCAACAAGGAAGUGACGGCUAACUACGCGCCAGCAGCCGAGGUAAUCUGAGCGGGCUGGCAAGGC